GUAAUCAUGGUGGAUGGCACACAUGAAACAUCCUUUAUAACAAAGUCCUGCCUGGGAUGGAGACUGAGUCACAGCACAUUCUUAAAGGGCCUCUUCAAAGGACCAGAGAGUUGUGUAACAGUUUACUUGAAGGUCACAUGGCCAAGAUAAAUGUAUUAAGUUGAUGGGGAAUAGGAGACGCUUGAAGAAGGCAUGCCAGGAACAUAGAUACGCGUGCGCAGCAUCAUACAGACUCAAGAACGGAUGACGUCAGUUGUAAUUGACAAAUGAUGUAAUUCAAGGACAUCAGAAGACCUCGGUCAAGUCUCAAGCUGGGCCGCUUACCUGGCCUUAGCCCAACAGAGUCCUAUGGAAGCGUGAUGUACAGUCACAUGGUAUAGGAGGGAAGAAUCAUAGGUGGACGCCGCCAGCCUGUCUGCUUGCUGCCUAUUGCAGUGACUGGGAUGUCAACAACAGCACCAGGCAUCCAGGAAGUGUUCAGCAUCAUCUCCUCCUACCACACCCACCCCAUCUCUUUAAGCUCAUCCAGCUAAUCCACUGUGACUUUUAUUGGUUCUAAAGACCAAAUGAAAAUUAACGUGUUUACCUAAA